GAUUAAGUAGUAAAGGGCGCACGGAGGAUGCCUUGGCACUAGGAGCCGAUGAAGGACGUGACAAACGACGAAAUGCUACGGGGAGCUGUAAGUAAGCAAAGAGCCGUAGAUAUCCGAAUGGGGGAACCCACC
rnacentral:ncRNA from 1 species